rnacentral:rRNA from 1 species
UACGAAGGGUGCAAGCGUUAAUCGGAAUUACUGGGCGUAAAGCGUGCGCAGGCGGUUUUGUAAGUCUGCCGUGAAAUCCCCGGGCUCAACCUGGGAAUUGCGUUGGAGACUGCAAGGCUGGAGUCUGGCAGAGGGGGGUAGAAUUCCACGUGUAGCAGUGAAAUGCGUAGAGAUGUGGAGGAACACCGAUGGCGAAGGCAGCCCCCUGGGUCAAGACUGACGCUCAUGCACGAAAGCGUGGGGAGCAGACAGG